CAAGCGAAGCUCGGGUAUUCCAAAUCUGUUUAAAAAACGAUCAAUCCCGGCUGGACGUUCGACAAAGCUGGCCAAUACUUAACUUGUCGGCGUGACAUCCCCCCCAAAGUGUCUCGCCGAUAUAGGCAGCAACGGAAUGUGUGCCUUUGUUUUACUCCUAAUGGUCUUAACCCGGAUUCCCCAGAGCCCGG
rnacentral:sRNA from 1 species